AUGGGCCCUGUCCCCAGCCAGGGACAUCACAAGGACCAUGACCCAGGCCCUCAGAAGCAGGAUAGACCCUGUCCCCAGCCAGGGACAUCACAAGGACCAUGACCCAGGCCCUCAGAAGAAGGGUAGGCCCUGUCCCCGUCCUUCGUUUAAAUGGAGCUGUGUGUGGAAGGCCCUGUGCCUUAAGUACCUUGAUUGCUUCCACAUGAGGUGCUAGCUUUGUUCUCCCAAAACAGGAUGGAAUAUCUGCAUUGUGGAGGCACGAACAAACCGCAGAGUUUACCUGCCAGCAGAGCUGCUGCGUCUGACCAAGGCCACACUUGGGGCUGCUCCCAGAG
rnacentral:lncRNA from 1 species